rnacentral:lncRNA from 1 species
GGAAGGUUUGAAUUCAAAUUGAAUAGAGGUUUCAGAAGAAAGAAGAGAAAAUAUGUUUUUUUCAUCAUGUCCUCGACUAUCUGGAAAUUUCAGAGGUAGCUGCACUACUUGACAUGUAGGUGGGAGGUCACUUGGAACUGUUUCAUUCAAGUGGUUAUAGUAGAAUUUGUAAUCUUUGCAUCCGUGGUGGCUUCUGUAACUAUGUUGCUUAAAAUAAGUAUCUGUUUGUUGAGCAUUAGUGAGAUUUUCUGUGCAUUUGUAUAGAGUGAUGAGGGGAAAUAUUGACAUGGAAUACAAAAGAGGGCUUGGAGAAGUGAAAUUAUUCAUAAGCGCCUCACAACUAUGAUUUUUCAAAAGAUCUUCAAAUGUUUUGUUACUGAUGAUGACUAUAUUAUGACCCUCAUCCUUGCCAACAAUCUCAUACCACCGUCCUCCAAGUUGAAUCUCCCCACCUUUGGAAGUACAAUUGACCUUGAUCAACCCACAUCGUGGGUCUGUGACAUUGUAAAACGGAUACUUGAAUGAGGGAAAAGCUGCGCAAGCUGGACACUUGA